CAGGAACAGGACGCACUCCCGCGACCUCUUUCCUAUCCUAACAACAGUGGGGCGGACUUGUAUCCAGGUUACUCAAUCACAAGAAUAGCAAGAUUCUAGCAGUGGGUAAUCUUUUCCACAGCCAAAGGACUCCGUCAAGGUCUGCCCUGCAUCUGUCACUCUCGCACUUCCACGACCCAGCUCACCCCAAUUCCCCUAGAAGCACGCGGCUCGCGGGGCCUGGGUACCCUCUCACCGUCGCUGCACUUGUAUUGGCAGAGCCCGUCCUCGCCUCCCAGGAGGUCCAAGGCGGCGUUCAGAUGAAGUUUUAAAAGUGGCUUUGUUAGGUCGGUAGCAGCGACUUUGUGGCGACUUAGUGGCAACUUAGAACAAAGCAGCCCGCGCCGGAAAAGAACAUCAAUCAGAUGCCGGUGGAAAUGCCUGUCAAUCAGCCAGAUCUCCUGACUAAAGCCUGUCAAUCAGCAGGACCCCCUGGCCAAUCCUGGAGUUCAGCCAACUCCCCUGACCAACUCCAAGGGGACAAGGGACUCUAAGAACACUUUUUCCUGUCCCAAGCCCUUCCCUUCCUGCUGUAAGCCCCAUAAAAGUCCAGUCCAGUCGAGCUUCCACGCGGUUUCUCCUCAGACCCUUCCCCUGUCCCCUCUGUGGGUCUGAUCGAGUUCCACCAGGGAGUGAUAUCUCAAUAAAGCCUGUCAAUCGGCCCUUUUAAAUCUGCCUCCUUUGAUCGCUGCCUCCCCCGCCUGAGCUGACAGCAUUUAUAAAGUAGCACUCUUGUCACUAGAAAGUGCAAGGUUUCACUGCCAAUCAAAAUCCUAUAGCUGGAAAAAAAAAAAAAUCCUAUAGCUGAACAGAGACCCUGUGCCUGAUAAAAGAAAAAGUAGGCCCAAAUCUUCAUCGUGUGGGCUUAGGAACUGACUUCCUUAAUAAGACUCCUAAAGCGCAGGUGAUAAAAUCAAGAAUCAACAAAUGGGAUGGAUUCAAACUAAAAAGCUUUUUUUCAGCAAAGGAAACAAUCAAUAAUGUGAUGAGAGAGCCUAUAGAAUGGGAAAAAAAUCUAUCACAUGCACCUCAGAGCACUAAUCUCCAGGAUAUAUAAAGAACACAAAAACAAA